rnacentral:rRNA from 1 species
UACAGAGGGUGCGAGCGUUAAUCGGAAUUACUGGGCGUAAAGCGCGCGUAGGCGGCUUGUUAAGUCAAAUGUGAAAUCCCCGAGCUUAACUUGGGCAUUGCAUUCGAUACUGGCAAGCUAGAGUAUGGGAGAGGAAGGUAGAAUUCCAGGUGUAGCGGUGAAAUGCGUAGAGAUCUGGAGGAAUACCGAUGGCGAAGGCAGCCUUCUGGCGUAACACUGACGCUGAGGCACGAAAGCGUGGGGAGCAAACAGG